rnacentral:rRNA from 1 species
UGGGGAAUUUUGCACAAUGGGGGAAACCCUGAUGCAGCGACGCCGCGUGAUUUAGAAGGCCUUCGGGUUGUAAAAAUCUUUUCUAUGGGAAGAAAAUGACAGUACCAUAGGAAUAAGGACCGGCUAAUUACGUGCCAGCAGCCGCGGUAAUACGUAAGGUCCGAGCGUUGUCCGGAAUCAUUGGGCGUAAAGGGUACGUAGGCGGGUAAGCCAGUUAGAAGUGAAAUCCUAUAGCUCAACUAUAGUAAGCUUUUAAAACUGCUCAUCUUGAGGUAUGGAAGGGAAAGUGGAAUUCCUAGUGUAGCGGUGAAAUGCGCAGAUAUUAGGAGGAAUACCGGUGGCGAAGGCGACUUUCUGGCCAUAACCUGACGCUGAGGUACGAAAGCGUGGGUAGCAAACAGG